CUCCAUCCUGGUAGGAGGGACUCAGAGGCUGCCCCGUUGUCUGGGGGUGGCCCUGGCGAAGGAGCUCAUCUUCACGGGCCGACGACUGAGUGGAACUGAGGCCCACGUACUGGGGCUGGUGAAUCACGCUGUGGCCCAGAACGAGGAGGGGGACGCCGCCUACCAGCGGGCACGAGCACUGGCCCAGGAGAUCCUGCCCCAGGCCCCCAUUGCCGUGCGGCUGGGCAAAGUAGCCAUUGACCGAGGAACGGAGGUGAGAGGGUUUUGGGUUGGGACUUGGGUCCACUAAAGUUGGUCGCGGCUGGGACACAGUGCUUUCAGAGCUCAGACAGCACAGCUGGGAAAAACUCAGGAAGUGGACUCUUCUAACAGACUUGAACUCUGACCUCGUGCUCUACGUCAGUUUACACAUCUGCAAAUUGGCCAGACAGUAUUAUUGUUUACAUUCUAUCCUCAUCUUUCUCCCUUGGAGAGAGGAUGAGAUUGAGGUUAAGAAAGGGUAAAUGAUUUGCCCAAGGUCUCAGAGGAAGUGAGUAGAAAGAACCCGGGUCUGUGUGGCUGCCAGUCCAUGCUGCAAGAUUUGUGCUGGCAGUAAUGUGGCCUCAGGGCAGGGCUUGGGGUGAUGCCUUGGGUGUGGCUAAUCCAUCUGUCCACCUCAACUCUCCCAUCUAGUUAAUCCAUCUGUCCACCUCAACUCUCCCAUCUAGUCACUCAUCACACACUGAAUCCAGAACAAAGCUGGGAACUGGGAUACAGAUGGAUGAGUUAAACAUGGUCACUGCCCCCGGGAGGGGGCAGAUACAGACACAAAUCAAGGAUAAUGGUACCACGCUGACACCCCAGAAAGGUUAGAGCUUUGCGGUCCAUUAUGAUAUCCAUGUGUGGCUUUUAAAUUAAAAGUAAAAUGUGGUCAGGCGCGGUGGCUCAUGCCUGUAGUCCCAGCACUUUGGGAGGCUGAGGCGGGCGAUCACGAGGUCAGGAGAUCGAGACCAUCCUGGCUAACACAGUGAAACCCCGUCUCUACUAAAAAUACAAAAAAUUAGCCAGGCGUGGUGGCAGGCACCUGUAGUCCCAGCUACUCAGGAGGCUGAGGCAGGCGAAUCGCUUGAACCCAGGAGGCGGAGUUUGCAGUGAGCCGAGAUCGCACCACUGCACUCCAGCCUGGGCGACAGAGCGAGACUCCGUCUCAAAAUAAAUAAAUAAAUAAAUAAAAUAAAAUGUUCAGUUUCUCCUUCACGCUAAUCACAGUUCACGUGCUUGACAUUCACAUGCGGCUAGUGGCUACCAUACUGGGCAGUGCUCGGUUAAAGACUGUUUUCUACAGUUGGACUGUGGGAAGGAUAAAAAUUCCAGAGGAAAAGUAUGGGCAAAGGCACAGAGGAGGAUAAGCAAGCAGCUCGUCCAGAUGAGAGUGAGGGAAGAAGAGAGAGUGCAAGUUCGAGGCACUAGGCUGUCUGGGUUCAAAGACCUGCUCUUCCACAUACUGUUGUGAACUUUGACAAAUUAUUUCACCUUUCUAUGCCUCAGGUUUCUCAGCUGUAGAAUAGGGAUACUAACCCUUGCUGUGAAAAUUAAGUUCACACACACAUGGUACUUCUCUUAGAAUGAGGCUUUCAAGUGCCAGUCAGUGGGCCCUAGAGGCUGGAGCAAUUGCCAGGGCCCAGGUCAUAAAGGUUCAGAAAUUAACGGGUGACAGGAAGCGUGGUGAGGCAGCCGGAUGGGAAGGAGAACUCCUCUUCUCUGGCAAAAUGUCUCAGUCUGUCUCGUUUCUCCCAGCAGUUUUGUCAUAGUUACGAAUGGUGUUUCUUCUCUAGGAGGGAAAUUCCUUCUCAUAGCUAUCUCUGCUCAUAUAGAUGUCUGUAGGCAAUAGGGUGGGCUGGCUUCCAGUGUGGGUGAAGAUGGACAAGGUCAGACCAAUCCAGGGAGCACGUCUUUCUUGCAGGUGGACAUUGCAUCUGGGAUGGCCAUUGAAGGGAUGUGCUAUGCCCAGAAUAUUCCAACCCGGGACCGGCUAGAGGGCAUGGCAGCCUUCAGGGAGAAGCGGACUCCCAAAUUUGUUGGCAAAUGACCCCCAUUUUAACCUUCAGCAUGGGAGAUGCAUGCCCUGAAGAGCAGGAUCCAGAAGGAAGAUUUGUGGCCAGAUUGCCUUCAUCAUUUCACCUCUCCAGACUUCCAUUUCUUCACAAGGAUGAUGAUGGAAAUAAAAUGACUGGCGUGAUGCCUGGAACCAAGGUGCUGAUCCUACCACCUACUGCUACCUUCCUUAGCUUCACCCUGGCUAGAAAUAAUCACGAGGGUUGGGUUUGCUUUGGAAAAUGCCUGUCUCUCUACUUGAAUGAUAAAGAAUUAAAUUAGA
rnacentral:lncRNA from 1 species